AGUGAACGCUGGCGGUAGGCCUAACACAUGCAAGUCGAACGGCAGCACAGUAAGAGCUUGCUCUUACGGGUGGCGAGUGGCGGACGGGUGAGGAAUACAUCGGAAUCUACUUUUUCGUGGGGGAUAACGUAGGGAAACUUACGCUAAUACCGCAUACGACCUACGGGUGAAAGCAGGGGAUCUUCGGACCUUGCGCGAUUGAAUGAGCCGAUGUCGGAUUAGCUAGUUGGCGGGGUAAAGGCCCACCAAGGCGACGAUCCGUAGCUGGUCUGAGAGGAUGAUCAGCCACACUGGAACUGAGACACGGUCCAGACUCCUACGGGAGGAAGCAGUGGGGAAUAUUGGACAAUGGGCGCAAGCCUGAUCCGGCCAUACCGCGUGGGUGAAGAAGGCCUUCGGGUUGUAAAGCCCUUUUGUUGGGAAAGAAAAGCAGCAGGUUAAUACCCCGCUGUUCUGACGGUACCCAAAGAAUAAGCACCGGCUAACUUCGUG
rnacentral:rRNA from 1 species